rnacentral:lncRNA from 10 species
GGACAUGGCUCCUAAGGUGCCAACUGAACACAGAAUACCUAACUGCAAGAACUGCCGCAUCCCUGGUGGUCUGACCUUGUCUCUGAGCUAAGCAGCAGAUUUCAGCCACAGCGUCUGACUCUCAGGCAGACACAUCCUGUCCAAGGACUGGAGACAGAGCAUCCGUUCUCCCACCCAGAGCGGUCAGCUGCAUGUGGCUGGUUGGGGGGCGGUUCAGACAGAAACGGCCCAAGAGAAAUGGAAAUAUGAUGGCUGGUUGAUUGUUUCGCAGUCUGCAUGACAGACCACCCUCCUAACAAGACUCUAGGUCAAGUGCUCUUCUCUGCCCUGUGGAUCUACUGGGGAGAAAUUAGCUCUCGGUGGUAUUUCCAAUUAUGGAGAAAAGCGAUUCCUCCCUGGUCUGGCUAUCAUGUGUUUUGCAGUGGACCAAGAGACAUGAAGCCCGUUUUCCACCCUCGCCUCUUUCUCCAUCUAGCUGCAUGACCUUGGGAGGUGGCGUGACCUCUCGGCUUCUUUGCUGCCUCAUCUGUCAUGAUCCACCUUUACUACUUCAUAGCCAUGUUCUAGGAUAAAUGAGAGAAGCCUCU